rnacentral:tRNA from 1 species
GGAGGUUAGAGCUCAGUGGUAGAGCACGUGCUUAGCAUGCAUGAGGUCCUGGGUUCAAUCCCCAUUACCUCCA